ACCGUAUCCUCAUGAGAGAUCCUGAACUAGAACCCCCGCCUACCAAUUAGAGUCCAAAUUCUUAACCCACCACUGUGAGAGAUAAUAAGUAGUUGUUGUUGUUUUAGGUCACUAUAUUUUGGAGGGAUUUGUUACACAGCAUUAGAUAACACAGACUUCUGCUACUUCUCAUCCCCUACCCCUGAUGGGAAAAACAAGACUCUGUCGUAAUGUGUACUUCCCAGGCUUUUGUCCUUCCGAGGAGUGCAGGUGCACGGUGCGGGACUAGCAGGCAGCUCCACCUGCAUCCCCUGUGCGGGAUCCACUGGGUGAAGCCAGCUGGGCUCCUGAGUCUGGUGGGGACAUGGAGGACCUUUAUGUCUAGCUCAGGGAUUGUAAAUACACCAAUCGGCACUCUGUAUCUAGCUCCAGGUUUGUAAAAACACCAAUCAGCACCCUGUGUCUAGCUCAGGGUUUGUGAAUGUGCCAAUCUACACUCUGUAUCUAGCUACUCUGGUGGGGCCUUGGAGAACCUUUGUGUCUAGCUCAGGGAUUGUAAACACACCAAUCAGCACCCUGUCAAAACAGACCACUGGGCUCUACCAAUCAGCAGGAUGUGGGUGGGGCCAGAUAAGAAUAAAACCAGGCUGCCCCAGCCCGCAGUGGCAACCCGCUGGGGUUCCCUUCCACAUUGUGGAAGUUUUGUUCUUUCGCUCUUUGCAAUAAAUCUUGCUACUGCUCACGCUUUGGGUCCACACUG
rnacentral:lncRNA from 10 species